GACAGAGGUGCCGAGCGUUAGGCGGAAUCACUGGGCUUAAAGCGUGUGUAGGCGGAUGCCUAAGUACCUUGUGAAAUCCCACGGCUCAACCGUGGAACUGCUUGGUAUACUGGGUGUCUUGAGCCACUUAGGGGCAAGCGGAACAAAUGGUGGAGCGGUGAAAUGCGUAGAUAUCAUUUGGAACGCCAAUGGUGAAAACAGCUUGCUGGGAGUGUGCUGACGCUGAGACACGAAAGCCAGGGGAGCGAACGGG
rnacentral:rRNA from 1 species